rnacentral:lncRNA from 1 species
AUUUAGAACUGAAAGGGAUCUUGUGGGGCAACUAAUAAUCUAACUCUAUUGCUUCAUUUUACAGAGGAAGGUAUGGUCACACGGGUAAUAAGUGACAGAGUUGAAAUUCAUUGACAAUUAUUCUGUUGCUUAAAGAUCACAAAGAACUUUGCAUACAGUAUCUGAUUUUGAAAUACCUUUAUGAAUUACUUUGUACAAUUACAGGCGAUAGAAAAUGCUAGACAAUUAAGGGACUUGUCCAAGAUCAUGUGGCUAAUGCAUAUCAAAGGGAGCAUUGGCAAACAGGUUUCUGCUUUACUUCAAGUCUAUCACAACAGGCUAAUUCUUUCUACCACACCAUCCUAACACUGCAAUUUAUACAGUGUCCCCAAAGUCUCAGUGCAGCUUUUUAAAAAACUUGUAUUUUUAUUUAUUUUGUUAAAUAUUUAGCCAUUAAAUUUUUAUCUGGUUUGGCCUUCUUGGAAGUCAAAUUUGAUACUUUUAAUCUAAAACAUCAAAAAUGAGCAGUACCAACUAUCUUACAAAAAAUUAAAAGACAUUCAUUGAAUAAAAAGAGGAAAAAAUAAAGAUUAGAAAAAUGGGCCAUGCUUGAAAAUUAAUGAAGUAAACACAAAUUGACUUUUUCCCCCUAAGGCAAUUGGGGUUAAGUGACUUGUCCAGGGUCACACAGCUAGGAAGUGCUAAGUGUCUGAGACCAGAUUUGAACUCAGGUCCUCCUGACUUCAGGUCUGGUGCUCUAGCCACUGCACCAAGUAGCUGCCCCCCAUAAGUUAACUUUUUAAUAGUAUUUUUCCUUGUUAGUGUACACUCUAAAUAAUUAAAUUGUUUUUGUGUCUAGGGUAGUAAAGACAAAUUAGAUGAUAAAUAUGGAUCAGUAUCUGCAAGAUAGUGUUGAACUGAUAUAGGGGCUAUAUAUAUAUAUAUAUAUAUAUAUUUGAGUGACAGACAAAUAAGAACAAAAAUCAGACUCCUAGCAAAGUGUGUAUAUAUGUGUGUGUAUGUGUGUGUGUGAGGGGACAAGUUAGGUAUUGACAUUAGGUGUCAAUAUAGGAUACUCAAUGAACUUUUCAUUCUAAACCUAAUUUAGAGUAAGACCAAGUGCAUGAAAUGCUGAAUCAAUCUGGUCACCCUCGAGGUGACCCAAACAUACUGUAUGAAUUCUGUGUAUACAGUAAUAAUAGUCAAAGUUCUGGGCUUCGAGGGAUACUCAUAUUAAUAAAGUAGGGUAAUUAGAGCAAUAUAAAAUAUAAAUCAUUAAGGAUCAUAUGCCAAAAAUAGAGAAUACAUUUAUCACAUAAAGGCUGUAUUUUUUAACUGAUUGAAAAUCAGAAGAAUAUUUAAAAUCUGUCUCACAUGGUUAAGGUCAGAUUUGUAAAACAGGUUACGCUGGGAUACAUCCUGAGCUCCUUUACUCUUUGAAAUAUAUGAUUUCAUUCUCUUCUCCUUACUCAGUAGGUACUGAAUAGUCUUGUGGUAUUUGUUUGUUUGUUUUUAAUGUCUUUUCCUUUACAUUUUAAGGUCAUUUUCCUGAUGACUUGCAGAACUUUUUUUUCUGAAUUGAAUAUUAAAUUUAGCUACUAUAUAUUAGAGUUUGCAGAUGUGUGUGUGUGUGUGUGUGUGUGUGUGUGUGUGUGUGAGUGUAUGUGUGUGUUUUCUGGUGGCAAAUUGAGAAAUUUUUCAAUUGAUAUUUCAUUUUGUUUAGAAGUUUAGGGCAGUUCUAUUAUUUCCUUCAUUAUGGUGCUGGGGUUUUUGUUCUAUUGUAUUUUUGGGGGGAGACCUAUAAUUCUUAGGUUGUCUCACCUUGCAAGUGCUAAAUUUCAGGAUGUUCUGCUUGCAUAUUUUCUUUAAAUAUUAUUGGGGAGAUUUUUUGUUUUUGUUUGUUUUGCUUCAUCUAUAUUGUCCUUCAUUUUUGUGUAAUUGUAUUUCCAAUCUAUUGUUUUCUUUUGUUUCUUUGGUGAGGAUUGCAGAAUUUAUGUCCCAGAAAAAUUUGUUUUUCUAAUUUGCUCCUUAUUUUUGCUCUGCAUGACAUAAAUUCUGUCAAGUCUCUUUUAAAUCACUCAGGAAUAGUGUAUUGGGGUUCUGUGUUUUUCUCAAAUUCCAUAUGGUCCUCUGUCAUCAUUAUCAUUGGAUCAUUUUUUCUUAACUUUUACAGGUUUUGUUCAUAGAUGCUUAAACUCAUUUACUAGAUCUAGAGGUCAUAUUUCCUUUGUUGAUACUGUGUUUUCUGCAGAUUUUCCCCUGAUAGUCAAGGUCUUUGAGGUUUCUUCUUCUUGAAACAGUGGUACUUUGAGUCUCAUUUCCCCAUGUCUCCUUUUAUUUCCCCCUGUUACUCACUUUCUGACUCUCUCCCCAUGUGAUUGUAGUUUCCUUGGAGGCUGGAUCUCAAAGCAUCUCAGCCUCCUCCCACACUGGGCAAUUUACAACUCCUCAGCCUUAGUCUCUAACACCAACUGAUGUCUGGGGGGAAAAGAGGGGUCAGAAGUAGCUCCAAUAGGAUUCUAUGCUCUUUCCUUUGGGUCUGGUCCCCACUUCCUUCGUUUAGUUUUUUUUGCAGUGCUGUGUCCCAGUGACCUAUCCCACUCUUUCUAUUCUUUAGUUCUUUGGUGGGACCAGCAGUUCAAUCCUUUGCAGGGCUGGUGCUCCCUGGUAUGCAGGCUCUAGCAGGCUUUUGCUCUCAAAAGGCUAUGGUCAAGACUGCUGAAAAGGCCUGAGCAAUCAUCUGCAGCCUGGAUCUCCAUGGCACUGGAAAGAAGGAGGGGGAACCAGAGUGCAGAUGGGGGUUUGGAUAUAAUUCCAUGUUAUGUCCUUAGAUCUGCUAGUACAACCUUGCUGUGUGCUGAGGAAGCUCAAGACCAGGGAGCAUCAAGUCCUGGAUUUAGGGCUUUUUAAAUCUCCUUUUGGAUUCUGGGUAUAAUAGUUGAUGGAAAGAGCUGGAAUUAUUUCAUCUUUGUUGUAAAAUUUCUAUUUUGGAGAGUUCUGAGAGGUUGUGGAGAUUAGAGAAGAUGUCUAUUGUCCAAUCUCGUAUGAAAUAGUCUUAGAUGUAUUCUAUGUUAGAAUAUGUCAUCCUUGGUGACUUGAGUUAGCUCUGGGGAAAAUGAUAUAUAAAAAAAACUUAAACGAAGGAAGAAAAGCAACAUAAAACAAAGAGAAAUUAAGGGCUUGGAUAAUUGUACGUGUGAAGUUUUAAAAUCUUUUGAACUUUUAAAUAGCUUUUGUCUUCUGGAUCACUCAUUCUGAAUAGAUUAUUAAAUUCCAAAUCAAUAAUAACGUGCAAAAGAAGAGUAUACAUGUGCCCAAGCAUGUGUGAUUAUGUCUAUGGUAUGUGGCAUAUAAUUAAACUUAACUAACAUGCUCUCCAAAAUAUUGGCUAAUUUCUCAAAAGCUUAAUGACACUAUGUUCUCUUCCUGAGCUGUUGAUGUUACUGCCCUCCAGCAAGGCAAAAGUAUACUGAUGAGAGAUUGUCAAAACUCUCACUCUGCACUUAUUCUGCCUGGCACCAGCAGUCCGACACUUUGCAGUUCUGGUGCUUCCUGGUGUGCUGAUUUCAACAGGAAGGAUAUCAAGAUUACUUGGAUAUUAAAUUGAAAGCAAGGAAUACUGCAAAGUGGCAUGAGUUUGGAACACUUCUCAAUUAUAUAAAGAAAUUUGAAAAUUAACACUUACAUAUAUAUACUAUAUAUAUAUAUAUAUAUAUAUAUAUACACACACAAACACACAAACACACAUAUGUACAUAUAUGUAUGUAUAUAUAGUAGGAAAGAAGACAUUUACUUAUUGUUUAGGAAGCAGUGAUUUAGAGGUUACCUGAUCUCAGGUAUUCAGCAUAUACCAGAAAUUUUUAAAGCUAAAUUAUAAUUUAAAAUCUUGUAUAGCUUUAUGAUGAGCUUUUUAAAACUCUGCUUUGUAGAUAAUAAAGGAAAGUAUUUGCCCAUAUUUUUCUUUGUUCUGUUAGCCUACUUUUCCCGUAGUCAGUUCUCUGGGGAAAAGAACCAAGUCAUAUUUCAGAGGCUAUGAUUAAACAUCUCAUUUAGGGCUUUACUUUGUUCUUCUCAAAGAAUAUUAGAUAGACAUGGCCUGUGUCAUCUGUAAGCUUACAGUCUAAAAGAAAUGCAUAUAUCUAGAGUAUAUGAGCAGCAGAAUAGAAAUAUUAAUCCAAUACAUUCUAUCCUACUUAUGCAGUAAAUGGUAUCAGCUAUUUUUUUUCUGAUAAAUUUUCUUAAAGAGAAACACUCAAAAGCAGGUUUGAAAAAUUGGAUAAAAUGAAAUAAUGAUAAAGAAUUAUAGUACAUGUUAAGGUAUAUUUUUGUUGAUUAUAUAAGGAAGGAUUUGUGAUUUAUCUUUAAGAAGACAAUAUCAAUAUUAUGUUUUAACAUGAAUUUUGAUAUUGUUCAAUUUUUUUUGGAAAGAUGCUAUUCCAUCUCAAUCCCAAUUAAAUAUAAUAAUAAGGUAUCUGAUAUAAGAGCAGUCAUAGGUAAUUUUCCUUUUUAAAGGCAUCUAGGUGAAUCAGUGGCUAGAGGGCUAGACUUAGCCUCAGAAAGACCUGAGUUUGGCCUCCAACACUUAGUAGUUGAAUGAUCCUGGGUAAGUUGUUUAAUUACUCUCUGCUUGAAUUUCUUUAUCUGUAAAAUGGUUGUAAAAAUAGCACUUAUCUCACAUUGUUGUGCAUAGAUUAAAUAAGAUAACAUGUAUAAAAUGCUUUGCAGAGAGCACUAAAGAUCAUAUAAUUUUUAAACCAUCUGAAAACUUUAACUUUGUUGUUUGUAUUAAUAUAUGAUCUUUGCCAUAUGAUAAAGUAUGAGUAAUAUAAAUUUAAAAUAUUAAAUCAUUGUUAAAAUCUCAAGGAGAAGGAAGAUUAAAGAUUAUUAUCACUAUUGGUUCAUAAAAGGAAGAAAUAAGGGGAAAUAAAUUUUAAGGAAGCUUGGCAAGAGGUUGAAGUUAAUAAAGUUAUCUCAAGGUCAUUCAAGAAUGAAAUUAGAGGACAAAACAUAGGAGGAGAAUGGAAAAGAUCUACAAAGAUUUUUUAUAACAAACUUUUUUCACUAUAAAAGACAGGAGAGCUACCAUCUUACUUGUAUUAACAUUAUACUUCCAGAUAAACAUAUAAAGGAAGUAGAAAUGAAAUUAAAUGCAACAAAUUUAGGAGCAAUAAGUAGAUUAGAGCCAGCUAGGGGGACAGUAGAGAGGGUACCUGAACUUGAAUUAGGAAGACUCAUUUUUUUAAGUUCAAAUCUGGCUUUAGACACUAGCUAGGUGAUCCUGUAUGUCAUUUAACUCUGUCUCAGUUUCCUCAAUUGUAAAGUGACCUGAAGAAAGAAAUGGUAAGCCACAUCAGUAUUUUUUGCCAAGAAAACCCCAAAUGAGAUAAUGAAGAGUAGUACAACUAAACUGGAUCAAUAUAACUAGAGAAGCCAUAACGGUUCAUCCAUAAGGUCUUUGAAGUGGGUAAAAAUAUGGAAUAACACUUUGGUGUUUUUAUUAUUUUAAGCUAUUAUUGACCACUUACUCCGAUAUCUUCUCAAAUACCCUAGUGGUCAUAGAUUUAACUCUUUAACUAUAUUUCAUUUUAUUCUUUCAACAUUGAAUAUAUGUUACAUGUUUAUUCUGCAAAAGUUAAGAGUCCUUUUGCAGAACUGUAUGUUAGAGAAGGCUGUUUUCCUUGAUUGAAGCAUGCUAUUUCUCUCCUACCUUCCCUUCCUUCCUCCCUCCCCUCUUUCUCUUUCUCUUUCUGUCUGUCUCUCUCUUUUUCUAUCUGUAUGUCUCUCUCUUUUCUAAUCUACAAGAUAAUAAUGAUGAAAAUGCUUUACAUGAUUGCACACGUAUAAUCUAUAUUGAAUUGCUUUACUGUCUCAGAGAUAGGGAAGGGGAGGAGGGAGGAAGGGAUAGAAUUUGGAGUUUAAAACUUCAAUCUUAAAAAUUGUUUUAACAUGUAAUGGGGGAAAUAUGUGUAUAUGUAUAUAUGCAUGUAUUUAAAAAGAACAACUAAAAACUUUUUCAGCCAUUUGCAGACUUUUUUGUGGUUAAAUAACUGCUAGAAUUGAGGGCAAUGGUAUGCAUUCUGUCUAAAUCUUCCUAAAAUAAUGAAGAUGGUGAAGGGUCUUGAAUCCAUGUCAGAAGAAGAUGGAAGAAGAAAGGAGGAAUGUGUAAUUUGCAGAAGAAUAGGUUUAUAGGGAAUCUAAUUGUUGUCUUCAAAUAUUUAAGGUUGUCAUGUGGAAGAAAGAUUGGGUUUAUUUACCCCAGGGGGCAGAAUCAAAAGCAAUGAUUAGAAUUGUAAAGAAGAAAAUUUAAGUUCAACAUCAGGAACAAUGGAAUGGAAAUUAAAGGUACAUAAAAGAGGAAUGCUCAUUCCUUUCACUGCCAUGAGAUUGUGGGUUUCUUUUCACUGGAGAUUUUCAAGAAAAAAACUUCUCCUUAUCAGGAAUAUUAUCCUAGGGAUUCCUUUUGUGUAUGGGUUGAACUAGAUAAUUGUUGAGGUCUUUUAUAAUUUUUAAAUUGUGUGAUUCUGUGUAAAAUCUCUUCUAGUUCUAAAAAGCUACAAUAGUAAGGAAAAUGCUGUACCAUUCCAGAAUGGCUACAGUAUUUGACAGUGGUUAGAAAAACAAGUUCUCACUACUCAGAAAUAUAGGAAAAGAAGGAAGGAAGUCUGCAAUUUAACCUCUGGGAAACUUGUACUGAUGAAAUAAUUAAGGGGUGUUGGACCAUUUUUUUUAUAGUCUGGCAAAGUAAAAUUUUGCUUAUGUUUACCAUAGUUCCCAGCGUUGUUUAUGGUUUUUUAAAACCAUCUUUUUGUUGAUAAUCAUGUAUUAUUUGUAUGUUUCCUGAAAUAUUUAGCAAUUCAUAGCAACAUGAUAAAAGGUAGAUAAAAGAGAGACAGAUGUGGUAGUUACAAAAUUUUAGAUUUAUAAUGUAAUCUAAACAUGAAAAAUCUGGUCCCAGAUAAACUCAGAUACUGGCAUUACUAAAGUGCAAAGGGUGAAGGAGAUGAAAAGGAAGGACCUUAGGGAAGCCAUUGGCUCUACAGAAGUAGGGGGACAGAGCCAGAAGAAUAAUCCUACUGAAUGAAACUGGCUUAUUUGGCUAGUGCUCUGAGAAGUGGCUGAGAAUGAAAUCGAUUGGAUUUAGGCUACGAUUUCAAAGUAUGAAGUCCAAAUCCUCACAUUGCAAUAGGAAAACAACUGCUUUUCCUCUUAAAGAGUCCAGAGAUAGUAAGGAAAGGGGCAGAUGGGAAAGCUCUGGUCUAAAAGUAAAUUGUGCCCCAGAAAUAGAAGCAAACUUCUAAGAGAGAUUCUGCUUGGUUUUCUGAUUGGUCAGAGUUAAGACAGUUGAACAAACCUCGCAUACUCCUUGUCUUUAAAAAGCUUUUGGUAAGAAUCUGCAAAAAGGAAAUAUCUUUGGACUGGGUAUCAGGAGACUUCAUUUCUAGCUGCUGCAGAUUUGACCACUGACUUUCUUUGGGUCCUUUAUUGAAUCAUUUAAUUUCUCUGGGACUGAGUAUCUUCACAAGAAUUUCUAACAAAAAACUCUCUUAGGUCUCAUCCAAUGCUACUUCUUUUCCUACAAACCUAAAUUAAAGUGAUUAAUAUUCUUUUGCUGACAUUUAGAUGGGUUAUAAUGAUUUUAAAGUACUCUCUACAGUUUUGUAAAAAUCCUACAGGGGGAGUCCAAAGACCCAAGUUCUAUCCUAUAAUUGUCACUAACUACUUCAGCUCCAGUCAGGAAGUGAUUUAAAAUUUCUAUGUUCCAGCUUCUCCAAAUACAACAUACAUUAUGAUGGUUACCCUACUUAUAAACCAGGAUUUAAAAAAAGUAAAAUAUAUAGUAAAACAAUUGAAAAAGCACUAAGCAUCUCCCCAAUAUUAGGUGCUAUCAUGUAAUUGUUGUAGAAUGCAUAAAUUAAUUUAUUUCUUCAUGUUUGAAUGAGAUUUUGAAAAAUAUGCAAAUUAGAAAUAACGAGUAAUUCUUGAGGGCAGCUAGGUGAUACAAUGUACAGAGUGGCAGACCUGGAGUCAGGAAGAUUCAUCUUCCUAAGUUUAAAUCUGGCCUCAGACACUUACUAUCUGUGUGACCCUAGGCAAGUCACUUACCUCAGUUUAUCUCAGUUUCCUCAUCUGUAAAAUGAACUGGAGAAGGAAAAGGCAAAUUGUUCCAAUAUCUUUGCUAAGAAAACCCCAAAUAGGAUCACAAAGAGUCAGACAUGAUUAAAAAAAAAUCUGAACAACAAAGAUGAUUCUUUAAAAUUCAUAUAUAUAAUUCAUUUGUGUCCCCAAAUGUUCUGAAACUUAAAAGGUCUAUGAUUUCAUCAGUAGGAAAAAUUCCUUUACCUAAUACAGUUUGUGAUCUCUUCAGGACUUAGAUUGUCACAGAAUUUUGUUUGAUACCCAUAGAGGCAACCUGUUCUGGAUCAUAUCAUUAAUCAGGGUCUAAGACAGAAUGUCAACCCAAGACUUCCUAACUAAGCACAAUUCUCUAUACAUGUGCAGCACUCUCCAUUUUCUUCUAUAUCUUGAGACUUAUUAAAAUACUCAAAUAGAUAUUAGCUAUUUUGUUGAUUCAAAAGUUUCUUCUAAUUUGUACCUAUCCCUCUUUGUUCUCUAGUCAUUUUUCAGAUCUGUCCGACUCUUUGUGAUCCCAUUUGGGGUUUUCUUGGCAAAGAUACUGCAGGGAUUUGCCAUUUCCUUCUCCAGUUCACUUAACAGAUGAGAAACUGAGGCAAACAAAGUUAAGUGACUUGCUUGGGAUCACUUAGCUAGUAAGUAUCUGAGUCCAGAUUUGAACUCAUGAAGAUUGACUCUGUCCACUGAACCACCUACCUACCCUUCCUGUGGGCCUCUUCUUUCUAUUCAUGUCUACAAUAUUUCUAUGAGGCUUCUGGGAGUAUGUGAGGGAUGGGUGUGGGUGAAUACUGGUAGAUCCUGAGGCUUAAUAGGAAAAAUAAUUCUGUCCAAAACAAUUCCCACUAGCUUUAUAAACAAAUAUAACUUAGUGGUGACUAUUUAGGCAUUAUUCACACUUUAAAAAAAAUCCCUUCUGGCUCUAUAAAUAGCUGAAAAUCUAUCCUUGGGGUCCAUUUCAUUUUCAGCAUCUUCGAACCUCUGACUCCUAUAAAAUGGAAAAAAAGAUCCUAACAUUUCUUAACCUAAAAUUCAAUCUGAUAGUGAGCUGCUACUGAUAUCAACACAAAUCUCUGAGGGGAGGAAAAAAAAAGGUUGAGCAGUUCUGAUUUCUCAACACUCUCUAUACUUCUUUAUGAGAUUUUCAUGGUUGACCUGAUAGCCUCUGGACUCCAAGUGAUCAGCAAACUCCCUUUGGAAGAGACAAUUCCAUCAGCCCCUAACACAGCAAAAUGGCCCACUUUCAGAUGCUUUCCUUUCACUGUCAGCUUUAGCUUUUCCUGUACUCCCCACAUUCUUCAUUGGUAGAAAAAGAAGCUCUUGACUAUUUCUAUUGCCUCCCUCCAUUCUCUCCUUUUCAUUUUCAGCAAGAAUAAAACCUAAGAAGAUAGGCUUACUAAUGACCCAGAUCCACACUUCAGUCAACUCUGAACCUCAGCUCUUUUUCUUCUCAAUUCUGGCCUGAUCCUCCUAGAAAAAAUUUGGAAUCACACUUGAAAGGAGGCUUACCUUCAGCUCUUCACUUGAGGGCAAUAAUGACCACUUGCAGUUAUUACUUUUUCUUCCAUCAGUCCCCCAAAAACCACAAAUUCUUUCAUAAAAAUGUUAAAGGGAUGCACAUUUGUGUAUGUAUGCACACAUGUGCAUAUAUGUGUAUACAUGUACAUACACAUGUACAAAAACUUAUAUACACAAUUUAUAUAUGUUUUGUCCUCAACUCCUAUCCACUAUUCCUUCCUCUCAGACUAAGACACUCCACCUAAAUCUUAUUUAAACUGUAUUUUUAUUUUGCCAGUUAUACUCUGACCUCUGAUGAUGUCCUACCUAGCUUCUUCUCUGACUCAUUUAGCUUAUCUGCUUCAGUCAGGGCCAAUUCAUUCUAACCCCUCCUUCCAUUCCCAGCUCGAUUCACCAAAGGUUUUCAUUUAAAAAAUCAUCCUGUGCAUUUCCAUUUUCCAUCACUUUUUAUUUGAAGAUGCAUCCAUUCAGCAGCUCUAGGGAAUUCAUUAGAAACAUGCAGUUUGUGCUAGAGCUCGACACACUUGGUUACUUGGGGGAAAUGGCUAAGAUAAACUCCCCGUCAGAAAUAUUUUAAAAUUAUUUCAUCAUCAUCUUCUGCUCUGGGAAACCUGGUAAUAAAACAUCAAGUCAAGUCAAUAAGCAUUUAUUAAAUGCCCACUACAUAUUGGGUACUGUGCUAAACUUUGGAGAAAUGUAGAAAGAUGUAAGGAAGAAUGUAUAUUUAUUUACAGCCCAAAUCUGUGAUUUUAGGGUGUGGGGAACUUCUGGUAUGAAAACUCCUUCUACUGAUGUAGAUUGAAAACUGUCUUAUCCCAACUAAUCUGGAGAGCAAUUUGGAACUGUGCCCAAAGGUUUAUCAAACAUGUGUAUCCUUUAAUGCAGCAGUAUCACUACUGGGCUUGUAUCCCAAAGAAAUCACAAAAAAAGGAAAAAGACCCACAUGUACAAAAUAUUUGUGGCAGACCUUUUUAUAGUGGCAAGGAACUGGAAACUGAGUGGAUGCCCAUCAAUUGGAGAAUUGCUGAAUAAACUAUGGUAUAUGAAUGUUAUGGAAUAUUAUUGUUCUGUAAGAAAUAAUCAGGAGGAUGAUUUUAAGGAGGCCUGGAGAGACUUACAUGAACUGAUGCCAAGUGAAAUGAUCAGAGUCAGGAGAUCAUUGUACUUUUCUCAGCAAUAUGAUGAUCCAAGACAAUUUCUUUUCUUUUUUUGAUGAAAGCUUUUUAUUUUUCAAAACAUAUGCAUGGAUAAUUUUUCAACAUUAACCCUUGCAAAACCUUGUGUUCCAAGUUCCCCCCUUUUCCCUUAUCCUUUACCCUAGAUGGCAAAUAGUCCAACACAUGUUUUUCUUUGUUUUUUAGUUCAAUAUAUGUUAAACAUGGUAGAAAUAUAUGUUAAAUCAAAUAUAUGCAUACAUAUUACGCAAUUAUCUUGCUGCACAAAAACAAUCAAAUCAAACUGAAAAAAUGAGAAAGAAAACAAAAUGCAAGCAAACGACAAUAAAAAGAGUGAAAAUGCUAUGUUGUGAACCACACUCAGCUCCCAUAGUCCUCUCUCUGGAUGUAGAUGACUCUCUUCAUCACUGAACAACUGGAACUGGUUUGAACCAUCUCAUUGUUGAAGAGAGCCACAUUCAUCAGAAUUUGUUUUAAUUUACAUUUCUCUGAUCAUUAGUGAUUUAGAACAACUUUUCAUACUUCUAGAAAUGUUUUCAAUUUCUUCAUCUGAAAAUUGUCUGUUCAUAUCCUUUGACUAUUUAUCAAUUGGAGAAUGGCUUGAUUGAUCACCAAGACAAUUUCAAUAGACUUGGGUUGGAAAAUUCCAUCAGAAUCCAGAGUAUUAUGGAGACUGAAUGUGGAUUGAAGUAUGCUAUUUUCACUUUUUUGUUUGCUUUUUCUUUCUCAUGCUUUUUCCCUUUUGGUCUGAUUUUGCACAAUAUGACAAAUAUAGAAAUAUGUUUAAAAGGAUUGUAUGUGUACAAUCCAUAUCAGAUUGCUUGUUGUCUUGGGGAGUGGGGAGGUAAGGGAGGGAGCAAGAAAUUUGGAACACAAAAUCUUAACAAAAUGAAUGUUGAAAAUUAUCUUUACAUGAUUUGAAAAACUAAAAUACUAUUGAGAAAAAAAGAAAAUUAAAAAUACACCUAUCAUUUGGAGCAACUAGGUGGCACAGUGGAUAGAGAACAUGGAUCUUGAAAUCAAGAGGAUUUGAGUUAUUGAUCUUAGAUACUUAUCAGCUGUGUGACCUUGGAGAAUUCACUUAACCCUAACACCUAGCAUUUAAAAAUGCCUUUACUAGCAUUUUAGGACUUAACAGUAUGAAAUAAAGCUUAUAAAAAAAAAGAAAAAAAAAAAGAAAACUGCCUAUAAUCUGGAUUAUUAGAACAUUUCCUGGGACACUGAGAGGUUAAGUGGUACACAGAUAAUGUGUGUCAGAAGUGGGAUCUAAAACCAGGUCUUUUUGACUCCAAAGCCAUCUCUAUAUCAGCAUGCUUUGCUGCCCUUUGCUAUAUUUAUUAGGAAUCAUUUUCUGGCCCCCCAAGAGUGGUACUGUCCCCAAUUGUACUUCCUUUUCUUUUAUCCUAAUUCUAGGGUUUUCUAUGCAGGUCAGGUAGG